GGGCCUAUGGCUUAAUGGAUAAAGCGCCGGUCUACGGAACCGGAAGAUUCCAGGUUCGAUCCCUGUAGGCUCG
rnacentral:tRNA from 1 species